rnacentral:rRNA from 1 species
GAUGAACGCUGGCGGCGUGCCUAAUACAUGCAAGUCGAGCGAACAGACGAGGAGCUUGCUCCUCUGACGUUAGCGGCGGACGGGUGAGUAACACGUGGAUAACCUACCUAUAAGACUGGGAUAACUUCGGGAAACCGGAGCUAAUACCGGAUAAUAUAUUGAACCGCAUGGUUCAAUAGUGAAAGACGGUUUUGCUGUCACUUAUAGAUGGAUCCGCGCCGCAUUAGCUAGUUGGUAAGGUAACGGCUUACCAAGGCAACGAUGCGUAGCCGACCUGAGAGGGUGAUCGGCCACACUGGCACUGAGACACGGUCCAGACUCCUACGGGAGGCAGCAGUAGGGAAUCUUCCGCAAUGGGCGAAAGCCUGACGGAGCAACGCCGCGUGAGUGAUGAAGGUCUUCGGAUCGUAAAACUCUGUUAUUAGGGAAGAACAAAUGUGUAAGUAACUAUGCACGUCUUGACGGUACCUAAUCAGAAAGCCACGGCUAACUACGUGC